GGCAGUCAGCUGGGAUUGGGGUGGAGA
rnacentral:sRNA from 1 species